ACGGGAGGCAGCAGUGGGGAAUAUUGCACAAUGGGGGAAACCCUGAUGCAGCGACGCCGCGUGAGCGAUGAAGUAUUUCGGUAUGUAAAGCUCUAUCAGCAGGGAAGAAACUGACGGUACCUGACUAAGAAGCACCGGCUAAAUACGUGCCAGCAGCCGCGGUAAUACGUAUGGUGCAAGCGUUAUCCGGAUUUACUGGGUGUAAAGGGAGCGUAGACGGACUUGCAAGUCUGAAGUGAAAGCCCGGGGCUCAACCCCGGGACUGCUUUGGAAACUGUAGGUCUAGAGUGCUGGAGAGGUAAGUGGAAUUCCUAGUGUAGCGGUGAAAUGCGUAGAUAUUAGGAGGAACACCAGUGGCGAAGGCGGCUUACUGGACAGUAACUGACGUUGAGGCUCGAAAGCGUGGGGAGCAAACAGGAUUAGAUACCCUGGUA
rnacentral:rRNA from 1 species